ensembl:lncRNA
CAUUCCUUGACACUAUUUGCCCUUAAUCUGGGAACCAGUAAGAACAACCACAAGUUGCUAUUCCUGUGUACCUAAAGAUAUGGGAAAAAAUAUUAGUUCAGAGACAAUAUGUUAUCUUAUUUUAUAAUGUAUAUACCCUUUUUGGCUAUUCCCUCAUGAGCACAGUGGUCUUCGAUGCUCAAGAUGAAGAAAGAAUCCCUAAGUAGGAAGAUACUUAUAUUUUCAGAUAAAACUAUGUUCUUGGAACCAGGUGGACCUACCCAUAUCUUACUAUCAUAUUGUUUCUAAGAUGCCCUCUUGCAGUACUGGUGAAGCCUUACAAAGCAGAAUCAACUUCCUGGAAGACCUUUUUGCAAGGACAACUACAUGAUAAACGUAUUUCUGGAGACCCUGACGAAGAGUCUGCCACCCUCCCUUUGGAUACCGAAAGGCCGCUCUCAGAUCUCCCUGCACAGCCCCAGCUCUCUCAGCCUGCCUUUGUAAGAGAGGUGUUCCAUCACUGGAUCAUUUUGUGACCCUCCUCUGGACAUGUACAGGUCCAUGUCUCUCCUGUACUGACGCCACAUCUGGAUGCAGUACUCCAGGUUAAAAGCACCUGAUUAAUUCAAAUUCUGUGAAUAAAAGCACGGAGUCCCAUUUUGGAGGUUUCACAGGGAGUGGUGCCCAGACUACAGGAGCAAUCAAAAGGCUGUGAAACAAUGAAGUCUCCAUAGUUUCUGGCAAUACCAUGAGAUGUUUCAUGGCUCUGCUCUGCCAGGUAUGGCAUCUGUAUGUGGCAUAGAGGGUAAAGUCAGCCCAGCUGUGAAACAGGUGAUCCUGCUUACCUCAGUGGAUGCUCCUGAAGAGCAUCUGCAUCCUGUGGCUGUCUUUGGGCUUCAAGAGGACACUCCCCACGCAGACAUUUCCAAACUGCUUGACAAGGAGAAUA